rnacentral:lncRNA from 1 species
GGCACCAAGGCUUUUGGUUUCUUCUUCUUCUUCUCAAGUUUGUUGGGAGUUUGUUAUAUCCACUUCUUGAUAGUAGUUCUUCUUGAUUAGUUGAGGGAUAAAGAAAGGUUCUUGGCUUUUUCAUGAAUCAAGAAAGAAAGAUCAAAAAGGGUUCAAGGGUUGAUUCAUAUCUAGACUUGAUUCAAGCCUAUUGAGAUUUUGAGUUCAAUUGAAUUGUAUCAAGAGGAGACUAUCU